GUUCAUUUCAGAUGCCCAUUUUCAGACUGAGUCUUUAAAUUUGGGAGGUCUGAUCUUUUUAAGUUCUUUAUAGAUUUGAGAUAGUAGACCUUUGUCUGAGGAAGAGCAGGUGAAGAAUUUUUUCCCACAUUGUGGGUUGUCUCUUCACACUGCUGGUGGUUUCGGUUGCUGUGCAGAAACUUUUUAGUAAGAAGAGAUCCCACUUGUUGAUUGUUUGUGCUAGUUCACGGGCAACUGAGGUUUUGUUCAUAAAAUCUUUUCCUACACCAAUGUCUUCAAGACUUCUACCUAACCUCUGUUCCAACUGGUUCAGAGUUUCUAUUUUAAUAUUUACAUCUCUAAUCCAUUUUGAUUUUAGUUUAGUGCAUGGCGAGAGAUACAGGUCUAGUUUUAAUCUUUGGCAAGUUGAAGCCCAAUUUCUCCAGCACCAUUUAUUAAAGAGGCUAUCUUUCCUCCAGUGAGGGUGUUUGGCUCCUUUAUCGAAGAUGAGAUGGCUGAGUGUGUCUGGCGUUGUUUUUGCAUCUUGUAAUCUGUUCUGCUGGUCCUCAGGUCUGUUUCUUUGCCAGUACCAUGCUGUUUUUAUCAUGGUAACUUUGUAGUGUAACUGCAAGUUAGGGAUUGUGAUAACCCCUGCCAUGUCUCCAUUACCUAGAAUUGCUUUUGCUUUUCUGGAUCUCUUCUUGUUCCAAAUGAAUUUUUGGAUUGUUUUCUCAAGGUCCGUGAAGUAUGCUGCUGGGAUCUCAAUUAGAAUUGCAUUGAAUCUGUAUAGCAGUUUUGGAAGUAUGGCCAUUUUCACUAUAUUAAUCCUUCCUACCCAGAAGCAGAGGAUGUCUGUCCAUUUUCUGAUAUCAUCUUCAAUCUCUCUUUUCAGAGUGCCAUAGUUUUCAGAGAAGAGGUCUUUGAUUUCUUUCGUUAGGUUGAUUCCUAGGUAUUUCAGUUUUUUGGAUGCUGUUGUAAAAGGAAUUAUUUGCCCUAUUUCUCUCUCAGUGAGUCUGUCAUUCAUGUAGAAGAAAGCCAUUGAUUUUUGUGUGUUGACCUUGCAUCCACCUACUCUACUGAAUUUGGUUAUUAAGUCUAGAAGACUUUUUGUGGCAUUCUUGGAGUCUUUUAUAUAGAGUAUCAUGUCAUCUGCAAGUAAUGAAAAUUUGACUUCUUCAUUUCCUAUCUUUAUUCCUCUUAUUUCUUUCUCUUGUCUAAUUGCUGUGGCUAAUGUUUCCAGAACUAUAUUGAACAAGAGUGGUGAUAGUGGACAUCCUUGUCUUGUUCCUGAUUUGAGUGUGAAGGAUUUCAGUUGUUGACCAUUUAGUAUGAUAUUGGCUGUUGGUUUUUCAUAGAUGGCUUCUGUCAGUUUGAGGUAGAGACCAUCUAUUCCAAUUUUUUGUAGGGUUUUUAUCAUAAAUGCAUGUUGGAUUUUGUCAAAUGCUUUUUCUGCAUCUAUGGAGAUAAUCAUAUGGUUUUUGUCCUUGGC
rnacentral:lncRNA from 1 species